AUACGGAGGGUGCGAGCGUUAAUCGGAAUUACUGGGCGUAAAGCGUGCGUAGGCGGUUUGCUAAGUCAGAUGUGAAAGCCCCGGGCUUAACCUGGGGACUGCAUUUGAUACUGGCAGACUAGAGUAUGAUAGAGGGGGGUAGAAUUCCUGGUGUAGCGGUGAAAUGCGUAGAUAUCAGGAGGAAUACCAGUGGCGAAGGCGGCCCCCUGGAUCAAUACUGACGCUGAGGUACGAAAGCGUGGGGAGCGAACAGGAUUAGAAACCCUAGUAGUCC
rnacentral:rRNA from 1 species